UUUAUMGUGUACGCGAGUCUUAGGGUUAUUAAUACCUUAUAGGCGUAAUGAAAGUAAAAGAAAUUUUUCUUUCUGAAGGAGGAUGAGUGGUUUGUUUUAACUAACGCUACUUCGCACUCCUGGGGCGCUUCUUACUCAAUAUGAGUUAAGGCGCACCUAGAGCGUACACAAUAAUACCCGAAAGAUGGUGAACUAUGCCUGGCCAGGACGAAGCCAGGGGAAACCCUGGUGGAGGUCCGAAGCGAUUCUGACGUGCAAAUCGAUCGUCGGAGCUGGGUAUAGGGGCGAAAGACCAAUCGAACCAUUUAGUAGCUGGUUCCCUCUGAAGUUUCCCUCAGGAUAGCUAACGCUUCCGUAUAAAGACGAGUCUCAUCCGGUAGAGCGAAUGAUUAGAGGUAUUGGGGUCGAAACGGCCUCAACCUAUUCUCAAACUCCAAAUAGAUGAGAACCUCGGCUUGCUUAAAAGUGAAGCCGUGGGAGUCUUUAAAUGGAUCAGAGUGUUAAGUGGGCCAUUUUUGGUAAG
rnacentral:rRNA from 1 species